CCUCCGAGCCUGUCUGAAUGAAUCUGGAAAAAGUCGCGGAGAAACAUGUCCCGUUGCAUUCUGCCAAAGAAAGACGGGAAAACUGGAGCUACGUAGCGGGCAGCUACUGAUCGUUAGGCCAUCGAUCCGAUCCUGAAACUUUCACUAGAGGGAGCCAAUGGAUUCAGAUGCCUGUCUCCAGAACGACUCUCCACGAGCAAAGGACAUUGAAGCAGUGGAGGCCCUGAUGGCCAUGAGCAGCUGCUGGAAGGCUGGGAGAUUUGACCAUGCAGAUCCCCGUCCCCUGACGCCCCACUCUGACAUCUUUGAGGAAGGGCUUCCUCUGCUGGCCCCAGUCGAGUUCCAGGGGUCACCUUUGUGUAUGACUCCACCCUACAGCCCGCUGAACUCUGAGCUUCCACAUACCCUUUCAGUACCUUUUCCGGAGCCGGUUCGGAACCCUUCCUGCCAGAGCAAACCGCAAAAAGAGGACGGCCUUUGUGAUGCCGUGGGGUGUCAUAGGUCACACACCACCAGCGUGAUCCGCCACACUGCAGACUUGCUGCCCUGCACCUGCAACAACUGUCCUGCAGAGAAGGAUAAGAAUGUGUGUGAAUCAUUGCAGCCUGAUCCU